rnacentral:lncRNA from 1 species
GCUUUGCGGAAAGGUCCGGGGCGCGUGUAGGGGAAGGAGAGAGAGGUAUGUGGGGCGAGCGGGAGUUGAGCGUGGAUGUGGGGAAGGGGGUGCGUCCUGCGUCGCCCCCGCACCCUCGCGUGCCCGUGAACUUGGGGCCUGAAUAAUUGAUAACAACCCGCUGGGUGCCCGUCGCGCGGCCAGGCCUGCGGGGAGCGGAGCCGGAGGCAGCAAGCAAAGGA